rnacentral:rRNA from 1 species
GACGUAGGGGGCAAGCGUUGUUCGGAAUUACUGGGCGGAAAGAGUGUGUAGGCGGUGCUCUAAGUUCGGUGUGAAAUCUCCUGGCUUAACUGGGAGGGUGCGCCGGAAACUGGAGUGCUCGAACGUGGGAGAGGAAAGCGGAAUUCCUGGUGUAGCGGUGAAAUGCGUAGAUAUCAGGAGGAACACCUGCGGUGUAGACGGCUUUCUGGACCAUUGUUGACGCUGAGACACGAAAGCGUGGGUAGCAAACAGG